rnacentral:lncRNA from 1 species
GGCACUUGCAACUUUAUUGCGCCAGCAAGAACAUGCAUACAGCCCAGUCUAACGUACAGGAUCAAAAAGAGACCUUAUUUCGGCUGGCAAUUACCUUACCCGCUUGUUCAUUAUCUGACUCCUGCACUCCUCCCAAGUGUUCAAUGUUAACCAGAUGGCAAAGUUAACCAGACAGAGGAAAUCCACAUAAUUACUCUAGAUGAAGCCCCCUAACUGCGGAUUAGAAGGAAAAGAGAUGAAGGGUGCUGCACUAAUAAUAACAACCAUUUUCAACCAAGGCAGGAUUCUGGGCCUAGAAUCUUCAGUGACAAAUUACCAGGAGAGGAGGAGGGAAAUGAAGAGCUGGAGGCCUAGGGAGAUGGUGUGAGGAGAGGAGACUGUGCCUUUCCACUUCUUAAUAAUUAAUGUUCUCCUGCUGCUCUGAGUCUGCAUCACCAGUGAUUCAGUUUGAGUCAGACAUCCAACAACAACUGAGCAAAAGAAUCAUCUCAGAUCCAAGCAAUGGUGACGCGCAGAUAGAAGAGACUGAGGCCAACGACCAAAGCAAAGGACAGCAGAACUGACUGACACAGCUCAGAAAAUAUCCAAAGCUCUGGUCUUGCUCUGUCACCCACACUGGAGUGCAAUGCCACCAUCUUGGCUCACUGCAGCCUUGACCUCCUUGGGCUCAAGUGAUCCUCCUGCUUCAGCCUACCAUGUAGCUGGGACUACAGGUAUGCUCUGGAAAGGAAGACAAGAAAUGCUAAAGACUCUGGAUAUUGCUCUGUUUCUAUAAGGUCCCACCCAUAUACCAUCUCUUCUUUUGGAUUUCCUUUGGCAGGGUUCCCUUGUAUGGAAGUUCUCAGGAGAACAACACUCUCAGAGUCCCACUGUCUCAAAGAAUUCUUAAUGGACAGGACAGAUUCCAAGCCUCUUGGAUAAGACUGAAGCCCUCCAUCACAGCCCAUCAAUCCGUUUCCUGGAGUUCGGAACCACAGCCAUGUGCCUCAUCAGUGUAAGACUGAGUCUCAGCUCUCACUUCAAGGAGGACUCAAGACAAGCAAAAGAAGUAAACUUUUGCUGGGUGCAGUGGCUCACGCCUGUAAUCCCGGCACUUUGGGAGGCCAAGGUGGUGGAUUACUUGAGGUCAGCAGUUUGAGACCAGCCUGACCAACAUGAUGAAACGUUAUCUGUACUAAAAAUACAAAAAUUAGGCUGGGCGCCAUGGCUCAUCCCUGUAAUCCCAGCACUUUGGGAGACCGAGGUGGGUGGAUCACCUGAGGUCAGAAGUUUGAGACCAGCCUGGGCAACAGAAUGAAACCCCAUCUCUACUAAAAAUACAAAAAUAAACUGGGUGUGGUGGCA